rnacentral:lncRNA from 1 species
UUUAAAACCAGUUCAGUAUUAGAGAAGAAUAAAACAGAAAAGCUUUCUUUUUAAGCUUCUGUUAUUUUGAAUGACUUCCUCUGUAACUUUACAAAUUAAAGUAAAUAACAGAAAAAUACGGAUCCUUAGACAUGUAUAGAUAUAUCUAAAAAAGUGUAUCAGAGCAUCAAGAACUAAGGACUGUUGUAACUCAAAUUUCAUUCAAAGGGAAAUAAUAAACCAAAGACAUUGUUUUAGGAUUACAAAAUAAGUUAUGUUAUUCAAAAGAAAGGUUUGUAUUUAUAAUGUUUUUUCUACUUGUGGUGUUAUAUAUGUGUCUUACAGGACAUUUUCUUUGCAUUUUCUUUAUUCACAAAUUUUGUGGCUAAAUAGGAUGGUUUUUGA